UUUGACCUCGGAUCAGGUAGGGAUACCCGCUGAACUUAAGCAUAUCAA
rnacentral:rRNA from 11 species